UACAGAGGGUGCGAGCGUUAAUCGGAAUUACUGGGCGUAAAGCGUGCGUAGACGGUUACGUAAGUUAGGUGUGAAAGCCCCGGGCUCAACCUGGGAAUUGCAUUUAAGACUGCGUAGCUAGGGUGCGGAAGAGGGAAGCGGAAUUUCCGGUGUAGCGGUGAAAUGCGUAGAUAUCCGGAGGAACACCGGUGGCGAAGGCGGCUUCCUGGACCGACACUGACGCUGAGGCGCGAAAGCUAGGGGAGCAACGGG
rnacentral:rRNA from 1 species